GUUUACCUAAGCAAGCCUGGGCAAUGGCGGGCGCCCCUCCCCCAGCCUCGCUGCCGCCUUGCAGUUUGAUCUUAGACUGCUGUGCUAGCAAUCAGCGAGACUCCGUGGGCGGGCGUAGGACCCUCCGAGCCAGGUGCGGGUUAUAAUCUCGUGGUGCGCCGUGUUUUAAGCCUGUCGGAAAAGCGCAGUAUUCGGGUGGGAGUGACCCAAUUUUCCAGGUGCGUCCGUCACCCCUUUCUUUGACUAGGAAAGGGAACUCCCUGACCCCUUGCGCUUCCCGAGUGAGGCCCUCGCCCUGCUUCGGUUCGCGCACGGUGCGCGCACCCACUGGCCUGCGCCCACUGUCUGGCACUCCCUAGGAGAUGAACCCGGUACCUCAGAUGGAAAUGCAGAAAUCACCCGUAUUCUGCGUCGCUCACGCUGGGAGCUGUAGACGGGAGCUGUUCCUAUUCGGCCAUCUUGGCUCCUCCCCCUGAAAAUCAUUUUCUACCAAAACUUUGAAGGCGGUAUUCUGCUGUCUUCCAGCAUACAGGAUUGCUGAUGAGAAGUCUAUCAGUCUGAUUCUCAUUCCAAUAUGGAGUCUCGCUCUGUCAUGCUGGAGUGUGGUGGCGCAAUCUCGGUUCACUGCAAGCUCCGCCUCCUGGGUUCACGCCAUUCUCCUGCCUCAGCCUCCCAAGUAGCUGGAACUACAGGCACCCGCCACCACGCCCAGCUAAUUUUUUGUAUUUUUAGUAGAGACGGGGUUUCACCAUGUUAGCCAGGAUGGUCUCAAUCUCCUGACCUCGUGAUCCACCCGCCUUGGCCUCCCAAAGUGCUGGGAGUACAGGCAUGAGCCACCGCACCUGGCCAAAUUAUUGAUAUUUUUUAAGAAAAGUAACAGAAUAGAUUUGAUAGAGAUACUGUUUCUCUUAAUACCAAAGGAAAACUAAAAUAAUAAUCCCAGUGUACUUUUCUUUGUUCCCUCAUGUUUUUUUCAAUCUAUACACUAACAUACCUAGCAGCAAAUUAAAGUUUUACUUCAACUCGAAA